UCAAAGUUAAAUCAUUAUUAGCACAAUUACACUGCAAAAAAUUUCCAAUGAAUUUUACUAUGUGUGAAUAGUAAUACCGGACUAUAAGAAAACUGAUACAAAAUUUACAAGUUCCCGUAGUAAACGGUAUGCGUAGACGACACGAUUGUGUAAUCUGCGCAUACGUUUACUAUGGGAACUUGUAAAUUUUGUAUCAGUUUUCUUAUGGUCCGGUAUUACUAUCCACACAUAGUAAAAUUCAUUGAAAAUUUUUUGCAGUGUAG